rnacentral:tRNA from 1 species
GAGGAUAUAGUUCAGUGAUAGAGUGCAUGCUUAGCAUGCAUAAGGUCCUGGGUUCAAUUCCCAGUACCUCCA